AUUCGGGAGCUCGUGGCUAAGUCUUGUCUCUGUGCACCAGAUGUACUCGUCUGUUAACACACCUCCAGGGACAGUGACCCCACCGCCUCCGUGGGCAGCCCGUGCCAACGCUUUGCAGCCCUCCGUGUGGAAAAAGUUUUCCUACUGUCCAACCGGACUCUCCCCAGGCACAAUGUGAGGCCGUAACCUUAAAAAAAAAAAAAAAAAAAAAAAGAUUCCCUUGUGGAAGGGGAAGCCGUGCACCUGCCUUGGAGCACUUUCUCGCAGGCUGUGCUGUGAGAAGAGCCGCAGUGCAGUGCGGAGGUUUCAGAAAUGUGCCCGGAGCAGAAGUUUGUACAGCUGCCAGCCCUUCCCAGUGGGUUUCCAUGCAGGAGCAAAGAAAUGGCUGCUGAGCGCUGAACUAGCAAGCGGGUGUUACUAAAGAAAGCCUGUGCAUUUUGCUUGACAUGCUCUUACUUCAGAGAAGUCAUUUGUUGGCACUGAUGAUGGGUGAGAGAGGCUACGGGAAAGCAGCCUGCUUUAUGAGGAAAUGAAAAACUCAUGCUUGGUGCAAGGUAGAGCAGGCAUUCACUCCUGGGUGUGUGUGGUUGAAUGUAAAGCUGUGGAAACACAGGAAUUG